rnacentral:rRNA from 1 species
CAGGGAUAAACGCUGAAAGCAUCUAAGCGUGAAGCCCCCCUCAAGAUGAGAUUUCCCAUUUCUUCGGAAAGUAAGAUCCCUGAAAGAUGAUCAGGUAGAUAGGUUUGGAGUGGAAGUGUAGCGAUACAUGGAGCGGACAAAUACUAAUCGAUCGAGGACUUAACCAA